rnacentral:rRNA from 1 species
GAUCCAGACUUUGAUCAUGGCUCAGGACGAACGCUGGCGGCGCGCCUAACACAUGCAAGUCGAACGAGCGAGAGAGAGCUUGCUUUCUCGAGCGAGUGGCGAACGGGUGAGUAACGCGUGAGGAACCUGCCUCAAAGAGGGGGACAACAGUUGGAAACGACUGCUAAUACCGCAUAAGCCCACGACCCGGCAUCGGGUAGAGGGAAAAGGAGUAAUCCGCUUUGAGAUGGCCUCGCGUCCGAUUAGCUAGUUGGUGAGGUAACGGCCCACCAAGGCGACGAUCGGUAGCCGGACUGAGAGGUUGAACGGCCACAUUGGGACUGAGACACGGCCCAGACUCCUACGGGAGGCAGCAGUGGGGAAUAUUGCACAAUGGGGGAAACCCUGAUGCAGCGACGCCGCGUGGAGGAAGAAGGUCUUCGGAUUGUAAACUCCUGUUGUUGAGGAAGAUAAUGACGGUACUCAACAAGGAAGUGACGGCUAACUACGUGCCAGCAGCCGCGGUAAAACGUAGGUCACAAGCGUUGUCCGGAAUUACUGGGUGUAAAGGGAGCGCAGGCGGGAAGACAAGUUGGAAGUGAGAUCCAUGGGCUCAACCCAUGAACUGCUUUCAAAACUGUUUUUCUUGAGUAGUGCAGAGGUAGGCGGAAUUCCCGGUGUAGCGGUGGAAUGCGUAGAUAUCGGGAGGAACACCAGUGGCGAAGGCGGCCUACUGGGCACCAACUGACGCUGAGGCUCGAAAGUGUGGGUAGCAAACAGGAUUAGAUACCCUGGUAGUCCACACUGUAAACGAUGAUUACUAGGUGUUGGAGGAUUGACCCCUUCAGUGCCGCAGUUAACACAAUAAGUAAUCCACCUGGGGAGUACGACCGCAAGGUUGCAACUCAAAGAAUUGACGG